rnacentral:rRNA from 1 species
AAGCGUUGUCCGGAAUUAUUGGGCGUAAAGAGCUCGUAGGCGGUUUGUCGCGUCUGCUGUGAAAACCCGAGGCUCAACCUCGGGCCUGCAGUGGGUACGGGCAGACUAGAGUGCGGUAGGGGAGAAUGGAAUUCCUGGUGUAGCGGUGGAAUGCGCAGAUAUCAGGAGGAACACCGAUGGCGAAGGCAGUUCUCUGGGCCGUUACUGACGCUGAGGAGCGAAAGCGUGGGGAGCGAACAGGAUUAGAUACCCUGGUAGUCCACGCCGUAAACGUUGGGAACUAGAUGUGGGGACCUUUCCACGGUCUCCGUGUCGCAGCUAACGCAUUAAGUUCCCCGCCUGGGGAGUACGGCCGCAAGGCUAAAACUCAAAGGAAUUGACGGGGGCCCGCACAAGCGGCGGAGCAUGCGGAUUAAUUCGAUGCAACGCGAAGAACCUUACCAAGGCUUGACAUAUACCGGAAACUUCCAGAAAUGGUUGCCCCGCAAGGUCGGUAUACAGGUGGUGCAUGGUUGUCGUCAGCUCGUGUCGUGAGAUGUUGGGUUAAGUCCCGCAACGAGCGCAACCCUCGUUCUAUGUUGCCAGCACGUCAUGGUGGGAACUCAUAGGAGACUGCCGGGGUCAACUCGGAGGAAGGUGGGGAUGACGUCAAAUCAUCAUGCCCCUUAUGUCUUGGGCUUCACGCAUGCUACAAUGGCCGGUACAAAGGGCUGCGAUACCGUAAGGUGGAGCGAAUCCCAAAAAGCCGGUCUCAGUUCGGAUUGAGGUCUGCAACUCGACCUCAUGAAGUCGGAGUCGCUAGUAAUCGCAGAUCAGCAACGCUGC